AAACACGAUUAAACUCGUUUUUAUCAAGUGCGCAAAAUAAGGCAUUCAUAGCCUUUGCAUUAAGAGCGAAAGCCUUCUUCUCCGAAUCGUUCCAAUCGAUCAUUGGAAGAGAAGACUUUGAAAAACCAUUCUCGACAAGAUUCCAGAGUUCAACAUCCAUAGAAAUAAGAAAGAUCCUCAUUCGGGUCUUCCAAUAGGUGUAGUCCGUCCCAUUAAACAUGGGUGGACGUGUAAUGGAAUGGCCCUCUUGGUUUCCGGCGUAAGCCAUCUCUCUUGGGUUUUAAUCCAUUUGAGAGUUAACCAGGCUCUGAUACCAAUUGUUAGGAUCGAGAGCACUAAGAGGGGGGGGGUGAAUUAGUGCAGCGGAAAUCUUUCAGCGAUUAAAAA
rnacentral:lncRNA from 1 species